GUGGGGAAUAUUGGGCAAUGGGGGAAACCCUGACCCAGCAACGCCGCGUGAAGGAAGAAGGCUUUCGGGUUGUAAACUUCUUUUAUGAGGGACGAAGAAGUGACGGUACCUCAUGAAUAAGCCACGGCUAACUACGUGCCAGCAGCCGCGGUAAUACGUAGGUGGCAAGCGUUGUCCGGAUUUACUGGGUGUAAAGGGCGCGUAGGCGGGAUAGCAAGUCAGGUGUGAAAUCCGGGGGCUUAACCCUCGAACUGCACUUGAAACUGUUAUUCUUGAGUGAUGGAGAGGCAAGCGGAAUUCCUAGUGUAGCGGUGAAAUGCGUAGAUAUUAGGAGGAACACCAGUGGCGAAGGCGGCUUGCUGGACAUUAACUGACGCUGAGGCGCGAAAGCGUGGGGAGCAAACAGGAUUAGAUACCCUUGUAGUCC
rnacentral:rRNA from 1 species